rnacentral:rRNA from 1 species
GCAGUCGUACGAGAGUUUUUAACUCAAGUGGCGGACGGGUGAGUAACACGUAAGAAUUUACCUUCAGGAGGGGGACAACAGUUGGAAACGACUGCUAAUACCCCAUAUGCUUUCGAGUGAAAUGGAUUUUCCGCCUGAAGAGAAGCUUGCGGCUGAUUAGCUUGUUGGUGGGGUAAUGGCUCACCAAGGCGACGAUCAGUAUCUGGUUUGAGAGGACGAUCAGACACACUGGAACUGAGACACGGUCCAGACUCCUCCGGGAGGCAGCAGUGGGGAAUUUUCCGCAAUGGGCGAAAGCCUGACGGAGCAAUACCGCGUGAGGGAUGACGGCCUAUGGGUUGUAAACCUCUUUUUUCAGGGAGGAAUCAAUGACGGUACCUGAAGAAUAAGCAUCGGCUAACUCCGUGCCAGCAGCCGCGGUAAGACGGAGGAUGCAAGUGUUAUCCGGAAUCACUGGGCGUAAAGCGUCUGUAGGUGGUCCAAUAAGUCAACUGUUAAAUCUUGAGGCUCAACCUCAAAAUCGCAGUCGAAACUAUUAGACUAGAGUAUAGUAGGGGUAAAGGGAAUUUCCAGUGGAGCGGUGAAAUGCGUAGAGAUUGGAAAGAACACCGAUGGCGAAGGCACUUUACUGGGCUAUUACUAACACUCAGAGACGAAAGCUAGGGUAGCAAAUGGGAUUAGAUACCCUGGUAGUCCCCU